GACAGAGGGUGCGAACGUUGCUCGGAAUUACUGGGCGUAAAGCGCGUGUAGGCGGGCUGGGAAGUCGGUUGUGAAAUCCCCGGGCUCAACCCGGGAACUGCAUCCGAAACUCCCAGCCUAGAGUGCCGGAGAGGGAGGCGGAAUUCCCGGUGUAGAGGUGAAAUUCGUAGAUAUCGGGAGGAACACCAGUGGCGAAGGCGGCCUCCUGGACGGCCACUGACGCUGAGACGCGAAAGCGUGGGGAGCAAACAGG
rnacentral:misc_RNA from 1 species